AUCCAGCCGAAGAGUCCCGAAUAGGACGAAACGCGUGUUUUGGAU
rnacentral:hammerhead_ribozyme from 1 species